AACGAACGCUGGCGGCAUGCCUAACACAUGCAAGUCGAACGAGACCCCUGACUUCGGUUGGCGGGUCUAGUGGCGCACGGGUGCGUAACGCGUGGGAAUCUGCCCUUGGGUUCGGAAUAACUCAGAGAAAUUUGAGCUAAUACCGGAUGAUGACGAAAGUCCAAAGAUUUAUCGCCCAGGGAUGAGCCCGCGUAAGAUUAGCUUGUUGGUGGGGUAAUGGCCUACCAAGGCGACGAUCUUUAGCUGGUCUGAGAGGAUGAUCAGCCACACUGGGACUGAGACACGGCCCAGACUCCUACGGGAGGCAGCAGUGGGGAAUAUUGGACAAUGGGCGCAAGCCUGAUCCAGCAAUGCCGCGUGAGUGAUGAAGGCCUUAGGGUUGUAAAGCUCUUUUACCCGGGAUGAUAAUGACAGUACCGGGAGAAUAAGCUCCGGCUAACUCCGUG
rnacentral:rRNA from 1 species